rnacentral:misc_RNA from 1 species
CGAAUGAAAAUUAAUAAGCAAACAUCAGAUAUUCUCUAAAAACAAAUGCAUCGAAACCUUGAGGGGAUGGUUUUCGAGGAGGGAUAUCCAGAAAAAUUCAUCUAGAAAUGUCAAGGUCCAAUACAUUCAAGGGUGUAAUUGGAAAAUAUCCUUUAAAAGCUUUCAACCUUUAAAAUUGCAUUACGAAUAAAAAAUGCAGCAGGAGAGGAAGAAAAAAUAAAAGAGAAGAACAUUUCAAAGAUUUUUAUUUUUUCUGAUCAUUAUAGGAUUAGAAAAAAUAGAAAUUGUCAAAUAUCAAAAUCAGCAGCAAAGAAGUCAAAAUCAUAGAACGCUAUAUUAAUGCGAUUCAAGGGCUGUUUUGUCACUGAGAAAGAGAGUGGAGGACAUACACAAAUCACUGUCACACGAAAACCCCAAAAAAAAGUUUCUUCCAUGCUAAACAGGGGAUUUGCGCACACCUCUGUACAGUCGAGAUUAGUUGGAAAAAAACAUAUCGCUCAGCUAAUCUCC